ACUCCGGGGAUAACAGGCUGAUACCGCCCAAGAGUUCAUAUCGACGGCGGUGUUUGGCACCUCGAUGUCGGCUCAUCACAUCCUGGGGCUGAAGUAGGUCCCAAGGGUAUGGCUGUUCGCCAUUUAAAGUGGUACGCGAGCUGGGUUUAGAACGUCGUGAGACAGUUCGGUCCCUAUCUGCCGUGGGCGCUGGAGAACUGAGGGGGGCUGCUCCUAGUACGAGAGGACCGGAGUGGACGCAUCACUGGUGUUCGGGUUGUCAUGCCAAUGGCACUGCCCGGUAGCUAAAUGCGGAAGAGAUAAGUGCUGAAAGCAUCUAAGCACGAAACUUGCCCCGAGAUGAGUUCUCCCUGACUCCUUGAGAGUCCUGAAGGAACGUUGAAGACGACGACGUUGAUAGGCCGGGUGUGUAAGCGCAGCGAUGCGU
rnacentral:rRNA from 1 species